rnacentral:rRNA from 1 species
CCUACGGGAGGCUGCAGUGGGGAAUAUUGGACAAUGGGGGCAACCCUGAUCCAGCCAUGCCGCGUGUGUGGAGAAGGCCCGCGGGUUGUAAAGCACUUUCAGUGAGGAAGAACGCCUGGUGGUUAAUACCCAUCAGGAAAGACAUCACUCACAGAAGAAGCACCGGCUAACUCCGUGCCAGCAGCCGCGGUAAUACGGAGGGUGCGAGCGUUAAUCGGAAUUACUGGGCGUAAAGCGCGCGUAGGUGGCUUGAUAAGCCGGUUGUGAAAGCCCCGGGCUCAACCUGGGAACGGCAUCCGGAACUGUCAAGCUAGAGUGCAGGAGAGGAAGGUAGAAUUCCCGGUGUAGCGGUGAAAUGCGUAGAGAUCGGGAGGAAUACCAGUGGCGAAGGCGGCCUUCUGGACUGACACUGACACUGAGGUGCGAAAGCGUGGGUAGCAAACAGGAUUAGAUACCCGGGUAGUC